UACGUAGGUCGCAAGCGUUGUCCGGAUUUACUGGGCGUAAAGAGCGCGCAGGCGGCUGGUCAAGUCCGAUGUGAAAUCUCCCGGCUCAACUGGGAAACUGCAUCGGAAACUGAUCGGCUUGAAGAUGGGAGAGGGUAGUGGAAUUCCCGGUGUAGUGGUGAAAUGCGCAGAUAUCAGGAGGAACACCGAUGGCGAAGGCAGCCAUCUGGACCGACACUGACGCUGAGGCGCGAAAGCGUGGGGAGCAAACAGG
rnacentral:rRNA from 1 species